UGACAGAGACGCUGGGAAGAGGGAUGCAGAGUGAGCCUGGACUCCCCAAAACACCGGCUGGAGGGCAAGGAAUACUGGGAAUACCUCUCCAUGGUGAUCUGCCAGCUGGGCUGGAGCAGAAGACUGAGGGAACCCAGAGGUUGGAGGAGCCAGUGUCAAAGACCACGGUGAAUUCCUGAGGGGCACCCUGUGGACAGGGACCGGGAUGCAUCACUGGGAUGUGCCAUUGGGAUCACCGCGCAUCCCACAUCCCUGUUUUGGGGACCCCCUGAGGCUCACCUGGUCUGGAAGCCCUGGGCCAGGCCCACAAGGACGAGGAGCAGGAGCAGCUUCAUGGUGGGAGCUCACGGAAAAUGUGCCUCCAAUCCCGGCCCCGCUCCUUAUAUCCUGGCUCCGGUGUUUGGCCAGAGGCCUCGAUAAGAAAGGCAAACUGCUCCUGGGAUGGUUAUCAAAAUGUCCUUAAGGAAGGGGGGUGGGAAUGUCAAGCUGGGGGAUCCUCGUAUUCCUGGGGGGAUUCAGGCCACGGGUAUGCUGGGAUGGGCAGGAAGCACUCCAAAUUAUUCCGUGGGAGCUGGUGGGAAUGCAGGGUUGUUUGUACCCUGAACCCUCUAAUUCCUUGCUGGAGGGUUUGAGCCAGAUGCUUCCAGGAAUGGGGCAGCCACAGCUUCCCUGGGAAUUCCAUUCCCAGGAAUGACUCACCACCCUCUCAAGGAAGAAUUUCUUCCCACUAAAGAAGAAAUUUACCCCGUCUAAACCUGUGCUCUGCUACUAGGAAGCCGUUCCCCCUUGUCCUGUCACUCCAGGUCCUUUAACAAAGCCCCUCUCCAGCUCUCCUGGAACUCCUUAAAGUGCUGGAAGAGGCUCCAAGGUCUCUUCAGCUCCUUCUCCUUCUCCUCUUGCCAAGGAUCCAUGAAGGAUUUUCAGGCUGCCAGGUCCAGAUUUUCCAUUCUGGGAAUCAGCCAAGACUUUCUCCUUUCCAGCCCCCUACAACACAUCCCAUUCUCCUUUUUUUUCCUCAGGGAUAAUCCAGUGCUCUGUCCCUUUUCUCCCAACAUUCCCCAUCCAGAUUCUUCUUCAUUUCAUUCCCCCAACGCAACCUAGCAUCAUACCCUCAGAUUUUUCUAUCAUUUCUAUCAUGGAGCUGGGAUGGGGAUGAUUCCACGUGAGGAAUGCCAGCUCCAGCCAUAGGGAACCUUUGAUCUCCUGAAGCACAAGGUGACCGUUCCAAGAGCCAUGGAUCCAGCACGUGGUGACGUGACCAAAGCCAAGUUGCCCAAUCCCGCUCCUGUGACCUUCAUCCAGAGGCAUCCAGAGCUUGGCUUUCCCCCAGCUCAUCCCAGUUUUCCCCCAGUUCAGGGACUUUGGAUGUGGAAAUGGAGUGACAGGAGAAGGGGAAUGGCUCCAAACUGGAAAACAGGAUAUUGGGAAGAACCUCUUACCUGUGAGGCUGGUGAGGCCCUGGAAUGGAUUUCCCAGAGAAACUGUGGCUGCCCCAUCCCUGGUAGUGUCCAAAGCCAGGUUGGAGAAGCCAACCUGGAACAUGUCCCUGUAGAUUUUGGAGUUACCAAGUUUUCCUCCUUUUUUGGCCAAAAUAGUAGAGAAAACAAAAAUAUGAAGUUUCCCCAGAGCUAUUUAUCCAUUGAAUUCCCAGAAUGGCCAUCCUUGGGGAUCAGGAUCCCUGUUUUCUCAAUGGGAAAAAACCUCACAUUUGCCCAAUUAUGGAAGCUCUAGGACAAGCUUAUUGUGCUGCUGGUAAAUCCCGUCAGAGCAAAACAAUGGAUCCGACAGGGAUGGAUUUUUGCAUGGAUGAUAUCCACAGAAGGAAGAAGCUGUGGAAUUCAGGACUGGGAAAAAAAAAAAUGGGAAUUGCUAUUUAGCACUAAUUAAAUCCAGAAUAAAAGUUGUGAGGAUGGAAAAAAUAACCCCUUUUAGGACAUGAAAUGGCUUCCUGCGAGACAAAUCCUGGAUUUUCCCAAUCUUGGUGGGGAAAUGGAGGGCAUGACAUGCUGGAUCCUGGAAUAAUCCGUCCCGGUGCUUGGGAGGUCUGUGGAUGGGAGCAGGUGGCCUCCCUGCCACAGCUUUCCUUGGCACCAGAGGGCACCACAGCAUGCCGAGAUCCCAAAAAGCCCCAGCUGGAAAGACGGAUCUGGAAGCUUUCCCUCCCGGUUGAUGCAGCCUGGGCUGGCCUCCCAAAAAAUUCCCCUUAUGGAGACAGAGCUUUACUUGGAAAUGGAUUAAUGAAGUCAACUUUUCCAGGCCCUGUUCCCAGUUUUUCUUGUCCCUUCCCUAAAGGCUUUUAUCACAUGGGUGCUUUAUCGGAGCUGUCAGAUGAAAGGAGGGAAAUCUGACGCUCCUGAGGUGUCAAAUUUCCAGGAUUGGAUUAAAAAUAUUUAAUUAACUUAUCAA